AUUGAACGCCGGCGGCAGGCCUAACACAUGCAAGUCGAGCGGAUGAAGGGAGCUUGCUCCUGGAUUCAGCGGCGGACGGGUGAGUAAUGCCUAGGAAUCUGCCUGGUAGUGGGGGAUAACGUCCGGAAACGGGCGCUAAUACCGCAUACGUCCUGAGGGAGAAAGUGGGGGAUCUUCGGACCUCACGCUAUCAGAUGAGCCUAGGUCGGAUUAGCUAGUUGGUGGGGUAAAGGCCUACCAAGGCGACGAUCCGUAACUGGUCUGAGAGGAUGAUCAGUCAAAACUGAAACGAGGAAAGGGUCCGAAUCCUAAGGGAGGCAGCAGUGGGGAAUAUUGGACAAUGGGCGAAAGCCUGAUCCAGCCAUGCCGCGUGUGUGAAGAAGGUCUUCGGAUUGUAAAGCACUUUAAGUUGGGAGGAAGGGCAGUAAGUUAAUACCUUGCUGUUUUGACGUUACCAACAGAAUAAGCACCGGCUAACUUCGUG
rnacentral:rRNA from 1 species